rnacentral:lncRNA from 1 species
GAGGCCCCCACCCCGAAAUGGUCCCGAGGAGAGGGAUUGCCCAGACUGCACUCUACACACGAUCCCUCUUUUCUAUAUCAAAAGAGGAAACAUUUCAGUCUGGAGUGUUCCAGAGGUAGUUCGGAGGCAGGGAACCUUUUCUCUACAGAGCAUGACUUUCCCCCUUUGUCUGGGACCCCUCCCUAAUGUUGGUGGUUAAAGGUUCUCAUCUACUCUGCACUUUCACUGACACAGGAAAGAUGAUAUCCGGGCCGGGAGAUGGGACUCUCAGAAACGAACGAGUUAGGACACACACUAAUGGCCAGAUAAAAUCAAUUCUAAUAUUACAUUUGUAGAAUUAAAAAAAAAAAAAGAAACUCCAGGUUCUUGGAGGGUGGUGGCUGGAAGAGGUUUCGGAAGCUCCACGCCCCUUCUCACAGGCCUUGCAUUACGUAUCUCUUCAUCUGUAUCCUUUAUAAUAUCCUUUAUAAUAAACGAUAACGGUAAGAAAUAAAAAUGAAAAUAAAACCGUAAAAACACUUUUACUUUUUUCGAAUCUUUAAUAAAACUUAAGGAUCUUCAUAUUUUUAUAGACACGGUAGAUCCUAUCUACUGAAGGUCUAGAAUUUCAGAGCGUUUUCAUGACUUGCUUUUCACAAAGCCUGGUAGUGGCAGAAUCAGUAUGUUUUAUCCUGGACCGUAAGCUGCACCCUACCUCAAAACUCCUCCCUGCACGAUGUCUAAAACCUGAAAGGUGAGAUCUCCCAAAUCUGUCCAAAAAGGGAAAGAGGAGAAAACUCGGAGCAAAAUGGUUUGCAUAAUAAAUAUUUGUUGAUUGUAGACAGACAAAAGAAA